UGGGGGAUAUUGCACAAUGGGCGAAAGCCUGAUGCAGCGACGCCGCGUGGGGGAUGAAGGCCUUCGGGUUGUAAACUUCUUUUGCUCUGAACAAGGCGCACCAUGGGGUGUGUUGAGUGUAGGGGUUGAUUAGCGCCGGCUAACUACGUGCCAGCAGCCGCGGUAAUACGUAGGGCGCGAGCGUUGUCCGGAAUUAUUGGGCGUAAAGGGCUUGUAGGUGGCUGGUUGCGUCUGUCGUGAAAGCUCAUGGCUUAACUGUGGGUUUGCGGUGGGUACGGGCUGGCUUGAGUGCAGUAGGGGAGGCUGGAAUUCCUGGUGUAGCGGUGGAAUGCGCAGAUAUCAGGAGGAAGACCGGUGGCGAAGGCGGGUCUCUGGGCUGUUACUGACACUGAGGAGCGAAAGCAUGGGGAGCGAACAGGA
rnacentral:rRNA from 1 species